CGGAUAAAGUUACGCGUGUGCCGUACUGAUAGUGUUAUCACUAGCUAUCAUAAGACACUCGCGGCUAUAUCCG
rnacentral:pre_miRNA from 1 species